rnacentral:lncRNA from 1 species
UCAGCUGGAAGAUGAAGGCCUAAUCAAGAUGGAGCCAAGGGCAGGGCCAAGCUGAUGUUAGCAUCCCAAGCACUUGGAGGUUUCUUCUCACCCAAGACACCAGAUACGGAUGCCCAGGUACCACCUCACCUGCUCACAUAGGACCUCCAGGUUUGCCUGCAAAACCAACCACCUUCAACCGUAACUAUGUCUAGGCGUCCUUGAAGGACUCUGAGAAAAUAUUUCUAUGUUCUUUUACAGCCUCCAACUUAAAAAAAGCCACUGUCCUUUGUGGAGGGUCUCCUCACUGCCAUGGUGGCUGGUGUCCUCCAAGAAAAGCCAAUUAUCUUUUUUUUUUUUUUUUGAGAUGGAGUCAUGCUGUGUCACCCAGCCGGAGUGCAGUGGCGUGAUCUCUGCUCACUGCAACCUCCACCUCCUGGGAUGAAUCAAUUCUCCUUUCUCAGCCUCCAGAGUAG